AACGAACGCUGGCGGCAUGCCUAACACAUGCAAGUCGAACGAGACCUUCGGGUCUAGUGGCGCACGGGUGCGUAACGCGUGGGAACCUGCCCUUAGGUUCGGAAUAACUCCCCGAAAGGGGUGCUAAUACCGGAUAAUGUCUUCGGACCAAAGAUUUAUCGCCUUUGGAUGGGCCCGCGUUGGAUUAGCUAGUUGGUAGGGUAAAAGCCUACCAAGGCGACGAUCCAUAGCUGGUCUGAGAGGAAGAUCAGCCACACUGGGACUGAGACACGGCCCAGACUCCUACGGGAGGCAGCAGUGGGGAAUAUUGGACAAUGGGCGAAAGCCUGAUCCAGCAAGGCCGCGUGAGUGAUGAAGGCCUUAGGGUUGUAAAGCUCUUUUACCCGGGAUGAUAAUGACAGUACCGGGAGAAUAAGCGCCGGCUAACUCCGUG
rnacentral:rRNA from 1 species